rnacentral:rRNA from 1 species
GCCAGACUCCUACGGGAGGCAGCAGUGAGGAAUAUUGGUCAAUGGGCGCGAGCCUGAACCAGCCAAGUCGCGUGAGGGAUGACGGCCCUACGGGUUGUAAACCUCUUUUGCCGGGGAGCAACGGGCGCCACGUGUGGCGCCACUGAGAGUACCCGGAGAAAAAGCAUCGGCUAACUCCGUGCCAGCAGCCGCGGUAAUACGGAGGAUGCGAGCGUUAUCCGGAUUUAUUGGGUUUAAAGGGUGCGUAGGCGGGUUAUCAAGUCAGCGGUAAAAUCGUGGAGCUCAACUCCAUCCAGCCGUUGAAACUGAUGAUCUUGAGUGGGCGAGAAGUAUGCGGAAUGCGUGGUGUAGCGGUGAAAUGCAUAGAUAUCACGCAGAACUCCGAUUGCGAAGGCAGCAUACCGGCGCCCGACUGACGCUGAAGCACGAAAGCGUGGGUAUCGAACAGGAUUAGAUACCCCCGUA